UAGUCAGGCAAGAGCUGACCAGGCUCAAACACCAAUAUAGUGUGAUCGUUCACACCGCCUAGACUAGCGGUGCUGCCAAACUGCCCGUGCUACGGCAUGAGAUUUGGCUGCAUCUAGAAAGAACGAGAUGUCAGAGCUGGGUUGUGGUGACUUCACUUAAGCACAAUGCAUUGGAUACAAUUUUAUCUGAUGUCGAAGGAGGGCUGAACUUGCUGUCUAUUGUGAAGUUGGCGUCAGUCAGAUUGGUGAUACGAAUUGGAGACUUUGGGGCUAAAGAUAUGCAGGACCCACUUUUUCCCUGGGGCAAUACUUUGGAGUGCCAGUGCCUGCACACACAGGCAUUCACCACCUGCUUCUGGCCUCCUUCCAUGCACCACAUCUACACACAACACUAUAACAUCCUUAACACUCUUGAGAAAUGCACAACUCUUUCCAACAGACUGCAAAAGCAGAAGACAACAAUGGCUCACUGAAGGAAACUUUGAUGUCAUAAAUGCAAGAUUAUGACUUCACGAUCGGGCAGCGAGAGAAGCCAGGAUGAGAGAAGAAAAAUAGAACAUAUUCCUCUUUGGAAACCAGCAAGGGAAAUCCAUAAAAUUAGACAAAAAAAACCCUGAAUGUUAUAAAUUUUCCCAAAAAUGUCUUUGCGUCCAAGCUACUAGGCUGGUUGACAUCUGGUCUUUCUAGCUAAUUGGGAUCAGAUUUAUCACUGGUGACAUCAAUAGAGUUUCACCAGGNCCCCAAAAAUGUCUUUGCGCCCAAGCUACUAGGCUGGUUGACAUCUGGUCUUUCUAGCUAUUCAAGUAGAAGCCAAUUGGGAUCAGAUUUAUCACUGGUGACAUCAAUAGAGUUUCACCAGGAUGACCUGGGACCUUUAUGCCUCUAGGGAGAAGAGAAAUAGAAAUCUCAAAUGCAAGAGUCAGAGCACUUUAUAUGCUUCUUCAUCCUUACCUACAUUAUGAAAGCUUCCUGUGUGCUUAUAUUAAUUAGCUGUUUUACCAAUGUAAACUAUCUUUCUAAAAUAUAUUUACAUCAACGUGCCAUGGGGCCUAAUUUGCCACCCAUAUGCUCGUUGAAUAAUACCUUAUUCUGUGAAUAGUUUGAAUGGGCUACUACACAGGAGUAGAAGUGGCAAAAUUUGGCCCAAAGUUAACUUCAGGAACAAUCUGAUUGUAAUUAACAAAAAAUGUUUGGUGUUAAUUUUGUUCAUUUUGUUGUUGAUUUUUGAUAUUAGUGUUAUUUAUUCUUGUACUGCAGGAACUCCUAGGAGCUUCAGUCAUGGGCCAGGCCCCCAUCAUGCUGGGCAUUAUACAAACAGAACACAGAGAUGGUGUCUGCCUCAAAUAGUUUACAAUGAUGUGCUGAGAAUUUGACCCUUUUUUCCCCUUUGGCUGGUUCUUAAAUGGAGAAAAUGCGAGUUUGUUUUUAUAUUAAACAAAAAAAGUACAACUAGAUUGACAACUUGCAUGUUAGGGUUUUACCUGAUGCAGUUUGAGACAGCUGAGAUGUUAUCUCAAUCAUCCCUCUUGCAAUGAGAUUUAUAAUGGAAAUGCUGACAAGACUCCUAUGUUUGGAGAUGGCACCAUGCACUGCUUUAAAAACUUGUUAUGAAUGUUAAUUGGUUAUCUGAAGAGUUUUCUUUUUCUAGGUGUAGGCAGCCUAAGAGACAGCCUCGGUAAUACAAUGUAACGAAUGCGUGAAAACAUAGGAGGCUUAUGUGAGUAUUAGAAUGGCUGGCAUUUCUGCAAACAGUGUUGCAGUUUUAUUUUCAAAAUUUAAUCAAUAAUAAGCUCUUUGAUAUUGCUAUGUACUUGGAGAACAGCAUUUCCUUAGGAUGACAGCUAAGCAACUUUCCCACGGUUUUAUAUCUAAGUUUGGGUUUUAAUUGGUCUGCUUGGGGGAUUGUCAUGAACUUCAGUUCUACACAAAAUAAAUAGAAGACAAGCCACA
ensembl:lncRNA